GGCCCAGGCCUCCAACUGGCUCCCACCCCCUGUAACAGCAACUCCAUGUGGAAGUACCUCUAGUUCCAGUGGGGCUGCUGUUAUCUGGGGUGGGGGCCACGCCCACGGAGGAGGCAA
rnacentral:pre_miRNA from 8 species